rnacentral:rRNA from 1 species
UUAAGCGACUAAGCGUACACGGUGGAUGCCCUGGCAGUCAGAGGCGAUGAAGGACGUGCUAAUCUGCGAUAAGCGUCGGUAAGGUGAUAUGAACCGUUAUAACCGGCGAUUUCCGAAUGGGGAAACCCAGUGUGUUUCGACACACUAUCAUUAACUGAAUCCAUAGGUUAAUGAGGCGAACCGGGGGAACUGAAACAUCUAAGUACCCCGAGGAAAAGAAAUCAACCGAGAUUCCCCCAGUAGCGGCGAGCGAACGGGGAGCAGCCCAGAGCCUGAAUCAGUGUGUGUGUUAGUGGAAGCGUCUGGAAAGGCGCGCGAUACAGGGUGACAGCCCCGUACACAAAAAUGCACAUACUGUGAGCUCGAUGAGUAGGGCGGGACACGUGGUAUCCUGUCUGAAUAUGGGGGGACCAUCCUCCAAGGCUAAAUACUCCUGACUGACCGAUAGUGAACCAGUACCGUGAGGGAAAGGCGAAAAGAACCCCGGCGAGGGGAGUGAAAAAGAACCUGAAACCGUGUACGUACAAGCAGUGGGAGCACAGAGCAAUCUGUGUGACUGCGUACCUUUUGUAUAAUGGGUCAGCGACUUAUAUUCUGUAGCAAGGUUAACCGAAUAGGGGAGCCGAAGGGAAACCGAGUCUUAACUGGGCGUUAAGUUGCAGGGUAUAGACCCGAAACCCGGUGAUCUAGCCAUGGGCAGGUUGAAGGUUGGGUAACACUAACUGGAGGACCGAACCGACUAAUGUUGAAAAAUUAGCGGAUGACUUGUGGCUGGGGGUGAAAGGCCAAUCAAACCGGGAGAUAGCUGGUUCUCCCCGAAAGCUAUUUAGGUAGCGCCUCGUGAAUUCAUCUCCGGGGGUAGAGCACUGUUUCGGCAAGGGGGUCAUCCCGACUUACCAACCCGAUGCAAACUGCGAAUACCGGAGAAUGUUAUCACGGGAGACACACGGCGGGUGCUAACGUCCGUCGUGAAGAGGGAAACAACCCAGACCGCCAGCUAAGGUCCCAAAGUCAUGGUUAAGUGGGAAACGAUGUGGGAAGGCCCAGACAGCCAGGAUGUUGGCUUAGAAGCAGCCAUCAUUUAAAGAAAGCGUAAUAGCUCACUGGUCGAGUCGGCCUGCGCGGAAGAUGUAACGGGGCUAAACCAUGCACCGAAGCUGCGGCAGCGACGCUGAUGCGUUGUUGGGUAGGGGAGCGUUCUGUAAGCCUGCGAAGGUGUGCUGUGAGGCAUGCUGGAGGUAUCAGAAGUGCGAAUGCUGACAUAAGUAACGAUAAAGCGGGUGAAAAGCCCGCUCGCCGGAAGACCAAGGGUUCCUGUCCAACGUUAAUCGGGGCAGGGUGAGUCGACCCCUAAGGCGAGGCCGAAAGGCGUAGUCGAUGGGAAACAGGUUAAUAUUCCUGUACUUGGUGUUACUGCGAAGGGGGGACGGAGAAGGCUAUGUUGGCCGGGCGACGGUUGUCCCGGUUUAAGCGUGUAGGCUGGUUUUCCAGGCAAAUCCGGAAAAUCAAGGCUGAGGCGUGAUGACGAGGCACUACGGUGCUGAAGCAACAAAUGCCCUGCUUCCAGGAAAAGCCUCUAAGCAUCAGGUAACAUCAAAUCGUACCCCAAACCGACACAGGUGGUCAGGUAGAGAAUACCAAGGCGCUUGAGAGAACUCGGGUGAAGGAACUAGGCAAAAUGGUGCCGUAACUUCGGGAGAAGGCACGCUGAUAUGUAGGUGAAGUCCCUCGCGGAUGGAGCUGAAAUCAGUCGAAGAUACCAGCUGGCUGCAACUGUUUAUUAAAAACACAGCACUGUGCAAACACGAAAGUGGACGUAUACGGUGUGACGCCUGCCCGGUGCCGGAAGGUUAAUUGAUGGGGUUAGCGCAAGCGAAGCUCUUGAUCGAAGCCCCGGUAAACGGCGGCCGUAACUAUAACGGUCCUAAGGUAGCGAAAUUCCUUGUCGGGUAAGUUCCGACCUGCACGAAUGGCGUAAUGAUGGCCAGGCUGUCUCCACCCGAGACUCAGUGAAAUUGAACUCGCUGUGAAGAUGCAGUGUACCCGCGGCAAGACGGAAAGACCC